CCUACGGGAGGCAGCAGUAGGGAAUCUUCCACAAUGGACGAAAGUCUGAUGGAGCAACGCCGCGUGAGCGAUGAAGGCCUUCGGGUCGUAAAGUUCUGUUGUCAGGGAAGAACAAGUACCGGAGUAACUGCCGGUACCUUGACGGUACCUGACCAGAAAGCCACGGCUAACUACGUGCCAGCAGCCGCGGUAAUACGUAGGUGGCAAGCGUUGUCCGGAAUUAUUGGGCGUAAAGCGCGCGCAGGCGGUUCCUUAAGUCUGAUGUGAAAGCCCCCGGCUCAACCGGGGAGGGUCAUUGGAAACUGGGGAACUUGAGUGCAGAAGAGGAGAGCGGAAUUCCACGUGUAGCGGUGAAAUGCGUAGAGAUGUGGAGGAACACCAGUGGCGAAGGCGGCUCUCUGGUCUGUAACUGACGCUGAGGCGCGAAAGCGUGGGGAGCGAACAGGAUUAGAUACCCUGGUAGUCCACGCCGUAAACGAUGAGUGCUAAGUGUUAGAGGGUUUCCGCCCUUUAGUGCUGCAGCAAACGCAUUAAGCACUCCGCCUGGGGAGUACGGCCGCAAGGCUGAAACUCAAAGGAAUUGACGG
rnacentral:rRNA from 1 species